rnacentral:rRNA from 1 species
UACCACCCUUUAAUGUUUGAUGUUCUAACGUGGACCCGUAAUCCGGGUUGCGGACAGUGUCUGGUGGGUAGUUUGACUGGGGCGGUCUCCUCCUAAAGAGUAACGGAGGAGCACGAAGGUUGGCUAAUCCUGGUCGGACAUCAGGAGGUUAGUGCAAUGGCAUAAGCCAGCUUGACUGCGAGCGUGACGGCGCGAGCAGGUGCGAAAGCAGGUCAUAGUGAUCCGGUGGUUCUGAAUGGAAGGGCCAUCGCUCAACGGAUAAAAGGUACUCCGGGGAUAACAGGCUGAUACCGCCCAAGAGUUCAUAUCGACGGCGGUGUUUGGCACCUCGAUGUCGGCUCAUCACAUCCUGGGGCUGAAGUAGGUCCCAAGGGUAUGGCUGUUCGCCAUUUAAAGUGGUACGCGAGCUGGGUUUAGAACGUCGUGAGACAGUUCGGUCCCUAUCUGCCGUGGGCGCUGGAGAACUGAGGGGGGCUGCUCCUAGUACGAGAGGACCGGAGUGGACGCAUCACUGGUGUUCGGGUUGUCAUGCCAAUGGCACUGCCCGGUAGCUAAAUGCGGAAGAGAUAAGUGCUGAAAGCAUCUAAGCACGAAACUUGCCCCGAGAUGAGUUCUCC